rnacentral:rRNA from 1 species
UACAGAGGGUGCAAGCGUUGUUCGGAAUUAUUGGGCGUAAAGGGCGCGUAGGCGGUUCGUCACGUCGGGAGUGAAAACUCGGAGCUUAACUCCGAGCCUGCUUCCGAUACGGGCAGACUAGAGGUAGGCAGGGGAGAGCGGAACUCCUGGUGUAGCGGUGGAAUGCGCAGAUAUCAGGAAGAACACCGGUGGCGAAGGCGGCUCUCUGGGCCUUACCUGACGCUGAGGAGCGAAAGCGUGGGUAGCGAACAGG